rnacentral:tRNA from 1 species
GGUCGUGUGGCUCAAUGGGUAGAGCAUCAUGCUAAAAACGUGAAAGUUGUGAGUUCGAGUCUCACCAUGAUCA